rnacentral:rRNA from 1 species
UGAGGAAUAUUGCGCAAUGCCCGAAAGGCUGACCCAGCGACGCCGCGUGGGGGAUGAAUGUUUUCGGAUUGUAAACCCCUUUCAUGGGGAAAGAACAAUCGGGAAACCACUUAGACCGGACUGCACCAACAAGCCACGGCUCAGUUCAUGCCAUCAGCCCCGGCAAUACAAAAGUGGCGAGGGUUGCUCUGAUUUACUGUGCUGGAAGAGCACGUAGGCGGUUGGGAAAGCCUCUUGGGAAAUCUCCCGGCUUAGCCUGGAAAGGACACUGGCAAUUAUUCUGCUAAUCUAGAGGAGAGGAGAGCGAAAUUCCCUUCGUAGCGGUGAAAUGCAAUAAUUUCAGGAAGAAAGCAAGUGGCGAAGGCAGCGCUCUGGAACGUACCUGACGCUAAGGUGCGGAAGCAAGGGGAGCAAACAGGAUUAGAUACCCUGCCCUGCCACGCCCUACACGAUGGGAACUAUACGACGGGUGUUUACCGUCCCGGCCGCGCCUAACCCAACAAGUACCCCGCCUGGCCAGUACGAGUACCGCCGUUG